rnacentral:rRNA from 1 species
AGAGUUUGAUCAUGGCUCAGAACGAACGCUGGCGGCAGGCUUAACACAUGCAAGUCGAACGCGUGUAGCAAUACACGAGUGGCGCACGGGUGAGUAACACGUGGAUUAUCUGCCUCUUGGUUCGGAAUAACCCCGGGAAACUGGGGCUAAUACCGAAUGGUUCCUACGGGAUAAAGAUUUAUCGCCAAGAGAUGAGUCCGCGUCCGAUUAGCUAGUUGGUGGGGUAAUGGCCUACCAAGGCGACGAUCGGUAGCUGGUCUGAGAGGACGAUCAGCCACACUGGGACUGAGACACGGCCCAGACUCCUACGGGAGGCAGCAGUGGGGAAUAUUGGACAAUGGGGGCAACCCUGAUCCAGCCAUGCCGCGUGAGUGAUGAAGGCCUUCGGGUUGUAAAGCUCUUUUGGCGGGGACGAUGAUGACGGUACCCGCAGAAUAAGCCCCGGCUAACUUCGUGCCAGCAGCCGCGGUAAGACGAAGGGGGCUAGCGUUGUUCGGAAUUACUGGGCGUAAAGCGCGUGUAGGCGGUUGUUCAAGUCGGGUGUGAAAGCCUUGAGCUCAACUCAAGAAAUGCACUCGAUACUGGAUGACUUGAGGACCGGAGAGGAUAGUGGAAUUCCCAGUGUAGUGGUGAAAUACGUAGAGAUUGGGAAGAACACCAGUGGCGAAGGCGGCUAUCUGGACGGUUUCUGACGCUAAGACGCGAAAGCGUGGGGAGCAAACAGGAUUAGAUACCCCUGUAGUCC